rnacentral:RNase_P_RNA from 1 species
GCAACCGCUCUAUCGCUGGCAGAGCAAUCUGCGAGAGGAAAGUCCGGGCAGCAAAGAGUCGCCAUACUUCCUAACGGGAAGGGACACGUUCCUGCAAAGGGCGUGUUACAGACAGUGCCGCAGAAAAUAUACCGCUAUAUUCGAGGCCAAAAGCCUCUUGUGUAGUAAGGGUGAAAACGCGAGGCAAGAGCUCACGACGGGUGCAGCGAUGCACUUGGUGGUAAACCUUAUGGGCUGAAAGACCAAAUAUACCGACAGUUAAGGGUUGACUCGUCCGUUGUCGGGGGGUAGGUUGAUAAAGGCAGCCGGUGACGGUUGUCUUAGAUUAAUGAUAGAGAACCGUCUUGGCGGUUACAGAACCCGGCUUAUAGGUUGCC